rnacentral:misc_RNA from 1 species
GAUGAAGAACGUAGCGAAAUGCGAUACUUGGUGUGAAUUGCAGAAUCCCGUGAACCAUCGAGUCUUUGAACGCAAGUUGCGCCCGAAGCCAUUAGGCCGAGGGCACGCCUGCCUGGGCGUCACACGCCGUUGCCCCCCCAUCUACUCCUUCGGGAUUGCGGGGGGGCGGAUGAUGGCCUCCUGUGCGCCUAGCCGCGCGGUUGGCAUAAAUACCAAGUCCUCGGCGACGCACGCCACGACAAUCGGUGGUUGCGAAACCUCGGUUGCCCGUCGUGUGCGUUCGUCGCGCAUCGAGGGCUCGAAAAAAUGCUCGGCUCCGGCUGGGCUUUCAACGCGACCCCAGGUCAGGCGGGGUUACCCGCUGAAUUUAAGCAUAUCAAUAAACGGAGGA